rnacentral:rRNA from 1 species
AACGAACGCUGGCGGCAGGCUUAACACAUGCAAGUCGAACGCAUCCUUCGGGGUGAGUGGCAGACGGGUGAGUAACGCGUGGGAACGUGCCCUUCAGUUCGGGAUAACACAGGGAAACUUGGGCUAAUACCGGAUACGUGCGAGAGCAGAAAGAUUUAUCGCUGAAGGAUCGGCCCGCGUCGGAUUAGCUAGUUGGUGGGGUAAUGGCCCACCAAGGCGACGAUCAGUAGCUGGUCUGAGAGGAUGAUCAGCCACAUUGGGACUGAGACACGGCCCAAACUCCUACGGGAGGCAGCAGUGGGGAAUAUUGGACAAUGGGCGCAAGACUGAUCCAGCCAUGCCGCGUGAGUGAUGAAGGCCUUAGGGUUGUAAAGCUCUUUCGUCCGGGACGAUAAUGACGGUACCGGAAGAAGAAGCCCCGGCUAACUUCGUGCCAGCCGCCGCCGUAA